AGCAACUUGGCGCAGUGGUAGCGCGCGGGGCCCAUACAAUGAGAGAGUACUUGAAACCUUGUGACCCCGAGGUCCUUAGAUCGAAACUAAGAGUUGCUA